rnacentral:rRNA from 1 species
GACGAACGCUGGCGGCGUGCUUAACACAUGCAAGUCGAACGGAAAGGCCCUGCUUUUGUGGGGUGCUCGAGUGGCGAACGGGUGAGUAACACGUGAGUAACCUGCCCUUGACUUUGGGAUAACUUCAGGAAACUGGGGCUAAUACCGGAUAGGAGCUCCUGCUGCAUGGUGGGGGUUGGAAAGUUUCGGCGGUUGGGGAUGGACUCGCGGCUUAUCAGCUUGUUGGUGGGGUAGUGGCUUACCAAGGCUUUGACGGGUAGCCGGCCUGAGAGGGUGACCGGCCACAUUGGGACUGAGAUCCGGCCAAGACUCCUACGGGAGGCAGCAGUGGGGAAUAUUGCACAAUGGGCGGAAGCCUGAUGCAGCAACGCCGCGUGCGGGAUGACGGCCUUCGGGUUGUAAACCGCUUUCGCCUGUGACGAAGCGUGAGUGACGGUAAUGGGUAAAGAAGCACCGGCUAACUACGUG